rnacentral:lncRNA from 1 species
GUACUGUACUGUACUGUACUGUACUGUACUGUACUUGUUUUAGACGAUUUUGUAUAUACAAUUACAUUAUGUAUUGUGUUUUGUUUAUAUGAUUUUUAUAUUACAGUACUGUAUUCUUUCUUCUAUAAAAUUUUGUAUCAGAAGUCACAUUCAGUAUAAUACGCGUACUGUAGUUCCUUAUGUUGACCACCUCCAUAGGUUGACCAGUUUGUUACAGUCCCCUGGGUGGUCAACAUACAGAGGUUCUACUGUAUUAUAUUUAAAUAAAUUUGGAAAUAUUAAUUUAUUGAGUGUUUCACAAAUAAGAUCAGAAAUGUAUAGAUCACUGUUUGUUUUAAUGAGUAAAUAUGAUUGUCACUAACGAC